rnacentral:rRNA from 1 species
CACGUAGGGCGCAAGCGUUGUCCGGAAUUAUUGGGCGUAAAGAGCUCGUAGGUGGUCUGUUACGUCUGCUGUGAAAUCCUAGGGCUUAACCCUGGGCCUGCAGUGGAUACGGGCAGACUAGAGGUAGGUAGGGGAGAAUGGAAUUCCCGGUGUAGCGGUGAAAUGCGCAGAUAUCGGGAGGAACACCGGUGGCGAAGGCGGUUCUCUGGGCCUUACCUGACACUGAGGAGCGAAAGCGUGGGGAGCGAACAGG